rnacentral:misc_RNA from 1 species
UACGUAGGGGGCAAGCGUUGUCCGGAUUUAUUGGGCGUAAAGAGCUCGUAGGCGGUUAUUCGCGUCGGAUGUGAAAGCUCAGUGCUCAACACUGAGAUGCCAUUCGAUACGGGAUGACUAGAGGUAGGUAGGGGAGAUCGGAAUUCCUGGUGUAGCGGUGAAAUGCGCAGAUAUCAGGAGGAACACCGGUGGCGAAGGCGGAUCUCUGGGCCUUACCUGACGCUGAGGAGCGAAAGCUGGGGGAGCGAACAGG